AUGGAUUGCUGCGGCGGCCUCCUCCUCUGCAAGUGCUUCACGUCAUCUCCCCCGGGCGUGGAUUACGUUGUGUGCAAUCCGGCUACCGAGGAUUGGACCGUGUUGCCUCACACCGAGGAGCUGCGCCCGGAGAACAUCAUCCUUCUCGGCUUCGACCCUGCCGAUCCCUCCUGCUUCGUGGUCUUCGUCAUCGUGCUGGAUGAUGACAAUGCCGGUGAAAUCGAUCACUGGAGUGGAGAUAUACUUGUCGGAAACCAGAACAUGGAUUCCAAAGCAAACUGGGUGGGCUCAAGAAACUAG
rnacentral:rRNA from 1 species